rnacentral:rRNA from 1 species
CAGUAGCCGCGGUAAUACGUAGGGUGCGAGCGUUAAUCGGAAUUACUGGGCGUAAAGCGUGCGCAGGCGGUUGUGUAAGACAGGUGUGGAAUCCCCGGGCUUAACCUGGGAACUGCGCUUGUGACUGCACAGCUAGAGUAUGGCAGAGGGGGGUGGAAUUCCACGUGUAGCAGUGAAAUGCGUAGAGAUGUGGAGGAACACCGAUGGCGAAGGCAGCCCCCUGGGCCAAUACUGACGCUCAUGCACGAAAGCGUGGGGAGCAAACAGGAUUAGAUACCCCUGUAGUCCCUGUCUCUUAUAC